AUACGGAGGGUCCAAGCGUUAUCCGGAAUCAUUGGGUUUAAAGGGUCCGUAGGCGGGCAAUUAAGUCAGAGGUGAAAGCCCACAGCUCAACUGUGGAACUGCCUUUGAUACUGGUUGCCUCGAAUUAUAGUGAAGUAGAUAGAAUGUGUAGUGUAGCGGUGAAAUGCAUAGAUAUUACACAGAAUACCGAUUGCGAAGGCAGUCUACUAACUAUAUAUUGACGCUGAUGGACGAAAGCGUGGGGAGCGAACAGGAUUAGAAACCCUAGUAGUCC
rnacentral:rRNA from 1 species